UACGAAGGGGGCUAGCGUUGCUCGGAAUGACUGGGCGUAAAGGGCGCGUAGGCGGAUGGCUUUGCCGGGCGUGAAAUUCCAGGGCUUAACCUUGGGGCUGCGUUCGAGACGGGUUGUCUUGAGUUCGGAAGAGGGUCGUGGAAUUCCCAGUGUAGAGGUGAAAUUCGUAGAUAUUGGGAAGAACACCGGUGGCGAAGGCGGCGACCUGGUCCGAGACUGACGCUGAGGCGCGAAAGCGUGGGGAGCAAACAGG
rnacentral:rRNA from 1 species